GACGUAGGGGGCUAGCGUUGUCCGGAAUCAUUGGGCGUAAAGCGCGUGUAGGCGGUCCGGUAAGUCCGCUGUGAAAGUCGGGGGCUCAACCCUCGAAUGCCGGUGGAUACUGUCGGGCUAGAGUGCGGAAGAGGCGAGUGGAAUUCCUGGUGUAGCGGUGAAAUGCGCAGAGAUGUGGAGGAACACCGAUGGCGAAGGCAGCCUUCUGGGCCAACACUGACGCUCAUGCACGAAAGCGUGGGGAGCAAACAGG
rnacentral:rRNA from 1 species